GAUGAUAUCAUGGUAUACUUGAAGAACGAGGAGGAGCACAAAGAGCAUUUGCGUUUAGUUCUCGUGAAGCUUAGGGAACACCAGUUGUAUGCUAAGUUUAGCAAAUGCGAGUUUUGGCUGAAGGAAGUCGGAUUCCUUGGACAUGUUAUAUCAAGAGAAGAUAUAGCAGUAGAGCCCAGCAAGAUUCAGUCAGUCACUGAAUGGUUGGCACCCACCUCAGUUAGCGAGAUCCGCAGUUUUCUUGGACUCGCAGGAUACUACCGGAGAUUCAUUGAGAAUUUUUCCAAGAUUCCAAAACGAAUGACUGAGUUGUUGAAGAAGGAUACCAAGUUUAAAUGGACAGAAGAUUGUGAAGCAAGUUUCCAGGAGUUGAAGAAACGUUUGACUACAGCCCCAGUGCUAGUACUGCCAGAUAUACAUAAGGAGUUCCAAGUGUAUUGCGACACCUCUCGCUUAGGACUUGGAUGUGUGCUUAUGCAGGACGGAAGAGUUUUUUCGUAUGCCUCACGACAACUAAAACCU
rnacentral:rRNA from 1 species